rnacentral:rRNA from 1 species
GCACAAGCGGUGGAGCAUGUGGUUAAUUCGACGCAACGCGAAAACCUUACCUGGGCUUGACAUGGAGAGAAUCUCCUGGAAACAGGAGAGUGCCUCGCAAGAGGAGCUCUCACACAGGUGCUGCAUGGCUGUCGUCAGCUCGUGCCGUGAGGUGUUGGGUUAAGUCCCGCAACGAGCGCAACCCCCAUCCCCAGUUGCCAUCAUUAAGUUGGGCACUCUGAGGAAACUGCCCGGGUUAACCGGGAGGAAGGUGGGAUGACGUCAAGUCCUCAUGGCCUUUAUGCCCAGGGCUACACACGUGCUACAAUGGGUGGUACAAAGAGAUGCCAACUCGCGAGAGCGCGCCAAUCUCAGAAAGCCAUCCUCAGUUCGGAUUGGAGUCUGCAACUCGACUCCAUGAAGUUGGAAUCGCUAGUAAUCGCGGAUCAGCACGCCGCGGUGAGUACGUUCCCGGGCCUU